rnacentral:misc_RNA from 1 species
UCCCCGUUAUCCGGGGCAGUUUCGCCAGAGUGCUCAGCUUGACCUGUUAGCAACUGGCAAUAAGGGUUGCGCUCGUUGCGGGACUUAACCCAACAUCUCACGACACGAGCUGACGUCAGCCAUGCACCACCUAUCGCAGGCCCUUUCGGACACCCCAUCUCUGUGGCUUUUCCGGCGUAGUUCAACCCAGGUAAGGUUCUUCGCGUUGCCUCGAAUUAAGGCACAUGCUCCGCCGCUUGUGCGGGCCCCCGUCAAUUCCUUUGAGUUUUAGUCUUGCGACCGUACUCCCCAGGCGGGGCACUUAAUGCGUUAGCUACGGCACGGAGCCCGUUGAUAAGGCCCCACACCUAGUGCCCAACGUUUACGGCGUGGACUAC